rnacentral:rRNA from 1 species
UACGGAGGGUGCAAGCGCUAUCCGGAUUCACUGGGUUUAAAGGGUGUCGUAGGCGGAUAAGUAAGUCAGUGGUGAAAUCUCUGGGCUUAACUCAGAAACUAGCCGUUGAUACUAUUUAUCUUGAAUAUCAUGGAGGUAAGCGGAAUAUGUCAUGUAGCGGUGAAAUGCUUAGAUAUGACAUAGAACACCGAUAGCGAAGGCAGCUUGCUACAUGUUAAUUGACGCUGAGGCACGAAAGCGUGGGGAGCAAACAGG